rnacentral:rRNA from 1 species
UUUGCCUACGGGGGGCAGCAGUGAGGAAUAUUGGUCAAUGGUCGGGAGACUGAACCAGCCAAGCCGCGUGAGGGAGGAAGGUACAGAGUAUCAUAAACCUCUUUUGUCAGGGAACAAAGGCGGGGACGUGUCCCCGGAUGAGUGUACCUGAAGAAAAAGCAUCGGCUAACUCCGUGUCAGCAGCCGCGGUAAUACGGAGGAUGCGAGCGUUAUCCGGAUUUAUUGGGCGUAAAGGGAACGCAGGCGGUCUUUUAAGUCUGAUGUGAAAGCCUUCGGCUUAACCGGAGGAGUGCAUUGGAAACUGG